rnacentral:misc_RNA from 1 species
UUUGUGAAAUGUUCAUGGUGAAUUUUGUAAAGAUGGCAUUCUUUUCUGGCCUAAUCAAGCAUGUUAUUAAUACAAUGCAGUAUUCAUCUAUACAAAAUUCACCAUGAACAUUUCACAAACCAUACACAACCAAAUUGAUUUCUCAAAGAUGUGCCUCAACAUUUGCUUUUUGCAUGGUAAAAGAAGAAAUAGAGCACUUGAUGAAACUGAGGAUUAGGAGAAAACAAAAAACAAGCAACAAACAUUCAGCUGUAAACCUUAGCACAAGUUGAACAUAUCAUGCCCUCAAUUUGAUGCUACUCUCUGGGAGAUUCCAAGUUUACUUUUAAUGUAAAAAAGAAUGCAGAUGACAGCCAUGAAUGCAUCUCUUAGUAUUCCACCAUUGGGCCAUCAUUUUCUCUUAGUUGGACAGCAAGCUCAAGUGGGCAAAACAAACUUUGCCCAAUCUCAUAACAGGAACAAAUCCAUUGUAGCAAGAACAAUUGUAGCUCGUUUCUACCCCAGCUCAGUCUAAUUACCAAACAACAUUCAGCAGAAAAAGCAAGACACCGCAUGAAAUAGCAACAUGUAAAUGAGCAACAGUCAAAGAACAUCAGAAGCCACUGCUGGAAGACAAACUGCCAGAUCUCUGGGUUCCUGUAGGGCCAUUGCUGGUUUUGCUAAUGAUCCCUUUUCCAAAAUACUCAGCAAUCACAGAAAAUCCAUCCUUAGAACUCUUCACUUGCUGAAAAAACUGAUCUUGAUCUUUAGAAUUAUGCUCCAGACUCCUCUUCAUCUCCAUAACAGACCUGUA